AAAACUUGUCUCAGUUCGGAUUGGGGUCUGCAACUCGACCCCAUGAAGUCGGAAUCGCUAGUAAUCGCGGAACAGCAUGCCGCGGUGAAUACGUUCCCGGGCCUUGUACACACCGCCCGUCACACCAUGGAAGCUGGUCACACCCAAAGUCGUUAUUCUAACCGUUUGGAGGAAGGCGCCUAAGGUAGGAUUGGUGACUGGGGUGAAGUCGUAACAAGGUAGCCGUAGGGGAACCUGCGGCUGGAUCACCUCCUU
rnacentral:rRNA from 13 species